UACGGAGGAGGCAAGCGUUAUCCGGAAUUAUUGGGCGUAAAGCGUCCGCAGGUGGCGAUUCAAGUCUGCGGUCAAAGACUGGGGCUUAACCCUGGAAAGGCCGUGGAAACUGAAAAGCUAGAGUGCAGUAGGGGUAGAGGGAAUUCCCGGUGUAGCGGUGAAAUGCGUAGAGCUCGGGAAGAACAUCGGUGGCGAAAGCGCUCUGCUGGACUGCAACUGACACUCAGGGACGAAAGCUAGGGGAGCGAAUGGG
rnacentral:rRNA from 2 species